ensembl:lncRNA
UAAACAUUAACUGGUAUUUUGUUAUUUUAUUAGGAUCCUCAUUAGCUGUUGCAAAAGCAGUAGCUACUCUUCCUGGGGUCCACAUGAAACAUGAAACAUAAUACAGAACAUCAAUAGACAGUAGAACAGCUCAAGGACAGAACUACAUUUUUUAAAUAUUUUUAUUUUUAACCUUUUAUUUAACUUGGCAAGUCAGUUAAGAACACAUUCUUAUUUCACAAUGACGGCCUAGGAACUGUGGGUUUAACUGCCUUGUUCAGGGGCAGAAAGACAGAUUUUUACUUUGUCAGCUCGGGGAUUCGAUCUUGCAACCUUUCGGUUACUAGUCCAACACUUUAACCACGAGGGUACCUGCCGCCCCUACACUCUAACCACGAGGGUACCUGCCGCCCCUACACUCUAACCACUAGGGUACCUGCCGCCCCUACACUCUAACCACUAGGGUACCUGCCGCCCCUACACUCUAACCACUAGGGUACCUGCCGCCCCUACACUCUAACCACUAGGGUACCUGCCGCCCCUACACUCUAACCACUAGGGUACCUGCCGUCCCUACACUCUAACCACUAGGCUACCUGCCGCCCCUACACUCUAACCACUAGGGUACCUGCCGCCCCUACACUUUAACCACUAGGGUACCUGCCGCCCCUACACUCUAACCACUAGGGUACCUGCCGUCCCUACACUAACCACUAGACUACCUGCCGCCCCUACACUCUAACCACUAGGCUACCUGCCGUCCCUACACUCUAACCACUAGGGUACCUGCCGCCCCUACACUCUAACCACUAGGGUACCUGCCGUCCCUACACUCUAACCACUAGGGUACCUGCCGCCCCUACACUCUAACCACUAGGGUACCUGCCGCCCCUACACUCUAACCACUAGGGUACCUGCCGCCCCUACACUCUAACCACUAGGGUACCUGCCCCCCUACACUCUAACCACUAGGGUACCUGCCGCCCCUACACUCUAACCACUAGGGUACCUGCCGCCCCUACACUCUAACCACUAGGGUACCUGCCGCCCCUACACUCUAACCACUAGACUACCUGCCGCCCCUACACUCUAACCACUAAGGGUACCUGCCGCCCCUACACUCUAACCACUAGGGUACCUGCCGCCCCUACACUUUAACCACUAGGGUACCUGCCGCCCCUACAUACAUUUCACCCUUACUUAAC